CCUACGGGUGGCAGCAGUGGGGGAUAUUGCACAAUGGGGGGAACCCUGAUGCAGCGACGCCGCGUGGGUGAAGAAGCGCCUCGGCGCGUAAAGCCCUGUCAGCAGGGAAGAAAAUGACGGUACCUGAAGAAGAAGCCCCGGCUAACUACGUGCCAGCAGCCGCGGUAAUACGUAGGGGGCAAGCGUUAUCCGGAUUUACUGGGUGUAAAGGGGGCGCAGACGGAGCGUUAAGUCAGUGGUCAAAUUGAGGGGCUCAACCCCUUCCCGCCAUUGAAACUGGCGCUCUUGAGUGGAAGAGAAGUAUGCGGAAUGCGUGGUGUAGCGGUGAAAUGCAUAGAUAUCACGCAGAACCCCGAUUGCGAAGGCAGCAUGCCGGCUUCCUACUGACGCUGAAGCACGAAAGCGUGGGGAUCGAACAGGAUUAGAUACCCUUGUAGUC
rnacentral:rRNA from 1 species